ensembl:lncRNA
AUGGGAGCUUCCUUUCUUGUAGUUUGGGUAGAUUAUCUGUAUUUUGGAUCCCCACCUCUGACUAGAAUGCUAAAAAUGUAUUUCAGACUUCCUGGACAAUGUGUUGUAGUGAUGUGGGAACAUAAGUUGGAUUUCAGUGUUAUGUCUUACUCUUCAAGGGCUGGUCCAGUUCUCCUGAGACAUAUUUACCAGAAAGAGCCAAAGGCAGAGCAGCAGUUAAAACAUGACAUAUUGAAAACCAAAGAAAACUCAAGGCAGCAAAUGUCAAGAAAUCAUACCAAAGAGCAUAGCAAAGAGCAAAGCAAAGGCAUUGCUAUAUCUGAUGAAACUGGUCUGCCAAUAUGUGUUUCUCAUCGUUUCCUAACUGAAGCUCCAGAUUUAAUGAAACUGGAAAGAGAUUUUGUGGAGAUGCUGGAUACUUGCUGAGGAGCUUACUAAGGUUAUGCUUUCUCUGUUUAGUAUCUUAAAUAGACUUUUG